rnacentral:rRNA from 1 species
UGGUGGAGCGAUUUGUCUGGUUAAUUCCGAUAACGAACGAGACUCUAGCCUGCUAAACAGACGGGCGAUCCCGUUGUGGGUCGACCCGAUUUGCUUCUUAGAGGGACAAGUGGCGUUCUUAGCCACGCGAAAUUGAGCAAUAACA